rnacentral:lncRNA from 10 species
GCAGAAGACACACCCCCUCGGGGGCCCGGAGCGACCCCGCGCUUAGGACUGCAGGCCUGGUGCUGCAGCACCGCCCCCGAGUCUGACUUCCAGGCCCGGGCAUGGGGUGCAGACGCGCAGACGUGGGAAGGCAACCCCCAGCUCCCCCGAGAGGUGGCCUUAGGUCACUCGCAAAAACAAUAACCCACAUGUCAGUGGGACUUGUAGUGAUUUUCUAAUUUAAAUUAAUAACAGAUUUUGCAGAUGGGCUUCCACUGAAAUAAGCCUUUGAGAAAAAGAAAAACUUUUUCAACAAGAUUAGGACAUACCAAGAAAUAGGAAGUAAAGCCAUGCCGCCCACCCAGCUAACAACUUUGAAAACUUGAAAUUUUAUCUAAGGCAAAUGCUUGCAUAACUUUAGCAGCAUUUAGUAUCUGUAGGAGAGAGAGAAGGAAAGAUCAAAUGGGCAUCUUUGUCAGGUCCUGCUGAUGGCUGAGUCUAGAGGGACUGUUAAGUGGUGAUAGCCCAGGGGCAAACUGAGCUCCUGCUAGGAGGAUGAGCUGAAGGGUGAGCCUCAGGCUGAGUGAAGAGGCAAGUGCCAUCCGCAAGUGAAAAAUAAACACCCCUGAACUUCCAGUCAGCUUGAGGUGAAGGAUAUAGGGACCCUAGCUCUGCCCAACCAGCAGCCCCUUUCCUCCUGAUCCCCAGUGUCUGGAGCAGAGUAAUGGCUUUUCACACCCCUCAGUGAGGAUGUUCUCAGCAUCAACCAUGAAAGCUCAGAAACAGAGGGCUGCAGAAGGAAAGGACCUUUUGCAGAGAAACCCACUCCCUUACAACUCCAUGUCCCCGUCUCUUAGGGAAGGGUGCGCAGGGCCAUGGGAAGAACCCUGGAGGUGAGAUACAGGAAGGACCUCAGACCGCAUCCACAUCCAGUUCUGCCUUUUACAACAGAGGAGCAGUGAUGCCACAGGGCUGACUUAACUAAAGCCACAUGACUUGCAAUGGACAACCCUGAAACUAGAACCCACGCACGAAGUCUCUUUCAAUAAGUUAGAGAGAAGGGAGAGUCAAUUCUCCAAUCUGGAGUUCUCGACAGUCACUAGAGGUUGCUGGGUCACCUUGGCUAGGAUAGGAAUGAGCUUUUACAAAGAAAUAUGAUGUCACUGCUGCUUGUUUUGUUGGUUAAAAUAAAAAAUGAGAAAAAGACAAAAGAAAUAUUAUGUGUUCUUCCAAAAAGGAUCAGAAGAAAAGGAAAGAGUCAAAUGGAAUUACAAAGGAAGGGUGGUGAUUGUAACCAUGGCCCAACUUAUUAUCCCUAAUUCCCUGAAGUUGAUUCCACACCUGGUUACACCUUAAGGCAUUUCUAGAAACAUGCUCAAUAUCUGAUCAACAAAACUCUGAAGUAGAAAGUGAAAAGGAUUAGUUUGUGUUUUAUUACAUUCUCCUCUCCCUGUUACAUUUUUCCCAGAGUGGUUUGUUGGGAAAGAUUUCUUUUUAGAAUUUCUUGCCAGCAUCAAGGGUAG